UACAGAGGCCCCGAGCGUUACCCGGAUUUACUGGGCGUAAAGGGUGCGUAGGUGGUCGUGUUAGUCUUCCGUUAAAACUUCGGGCUCAACCCGAAGAUCGCGGAGGAAACGGCACGACUUGAGGGUGUGAGAGGUGACCGGAACUCAUGGUGUAGGGGUGAAAUCCGUUGAUAUCAUGGGGAACACCAAAAGCGAAGGCAGGUCACUGGCGCAUUCCUGACACUGAGGCACGAAAGCGUGGGUAGCGAACGGG
rnacentral:misc_RNA from 1 species